AUACGGAGGGUGCAAGCGUUGUUCGGAAUUACAGGGCGUAAAGCGCGUGCAGGCGGUAAGGUAAGUCAGAUGUGAAAGCCCCGGGCUCAACCCGGGAAGUGCAUUUGAUACUGCCUUUCUUGAGUAUGGGAGAGGAGAGUGGAAUUCCCAGUGUAGAGGUGAAAUUCGUAGAUAUUGGGAGGAACACCCGUGGCGAAGGCGACUCUCUGGACCAAUACUGACGCUGAGACGCGAAAGCGUGGGGAGCGAACAGGAUUAGAUACCCCAGUAGUCC
rnacentral:rRNA from 1 species